rnacentral:ncRNA from 1 species
GGGCAUCUCCUCAGCCUGAACGGCUCCCUGGGUAUCGACUGGUUCUUAUAUAAUCUUUAUUCAUCACUCACG